rnacentral:rRNA from 1 species
AAUUUUGGUAUUUAGUGUAAUUUUUUUUAGAAAAGAAACAUCAUUUAUAUUUAGUAGUGGUGAAGGAAAUAAUUAUAUAUUAAUAUAUAAAUUGUACCGUUACGGAAAAUUAUAAAUUUCUUUUAAGUAGAAUUUUAAUUCAUACCUUUUGCAUCAUGGUUUAGUAAGAAAAUUUUUUAAAUUAAGUUUCUCGAAACCUGAGGAGCUACCUUAAAUUUUGGUUUAGCCUUAAAUAAAGGUGAGUGUGGCACAACUCUAUUUAAAAUUUAAGGUAGAGAUUAAAUGUUAUUCGUCUUAGGUGAUAGCUAGUUAUAAUAUAAAGAUAUAUAAGUUUCGGAUAUAAUUUCAUUAUGUGUUUAUAUUAUAUAUACAUAAUGACUUAUUUUCUUAAUUAUGUGAGGGUGAGCUCGCAUAAAAUUUAUUUUAAUUAAAAUUAUAUAUGAAUCUAAGCUUGGGAUUAGCUAUGAUAAAUUGGAAUUUGUUAAAAAUACAUAUACACAAGAACUUUGUAAUAUAUUAAAUUUAUGUUAUUCAAUUAUAUAAUUAAAAUAAGGUUGAUUUAUGCUAAAAUGAGUAUUAUUAUGGGCAAAAAAAAAAAUAAAUUAAAUUUUUUUAAAAAUUUUUUAUAAAUAUUAUAAAAUAUAUCAUAGGAACUCGGCAAAAAUUUAGCUCCGCCUGUUUAGCAAAAACAUGUCUCUUUGAAAACAUAAUAUAAAGAGUCUGGCCUGCCCGG